CAGCAGCAGCCACGGUAAUACGAAGGGUGCAAGCGUUACUCGGAAUUACUGGGCGUAAAGCGUGCGUAGGUGGUGGUUUAAGUCCGUUGUGAAAGCCCUGGGCUCAACCUGGGAAUUGCAGUGGAUACUGGGUCACUAGAGUGUGGUAGAGGAUAGUGGAAUUUCCGGUGUAGCAGUGAAAUGCGUAGAGAUCGGAAGGAACAUCUGUGGCGAAGGCGACUAUCUGGGCCAACACUGACACUGAGGCACGAAAGCGUGGGGAGCAAACAGGAUUAGAUACCCCCGUAGUCCCUGUCUCUUAUAC
rnacentral:rRNA from 1 species